rnacentral:rRNA from 1 species
AGUGAACGCUGGCGGUAGGCCUAACACAUGCAAGUCGAACGGCAGCACAGUAAGAGCUUGUUCUUACGGGUGGCGAGUGGCGGACGGGUGAGGAAUACAUCGGAAUCUACUUUUUCGUGGGGGAUAACGUAGGGAAACUUACGCUAAUACCGCAUACGACCUACGGGUGAAGGCAGGGGAUCUUCGGACCUUGCGCGAUUGAAUGAGCCGAUGUCGGAUUAGCUAGUUGGCGGGGUAAAGGCCCACCAAGGCGACGAUCCGUAGCUGGUCUGAGAGGAUGAUCAGCCACACUGGAACUGAGACACGGUCCAGACUCCUACGGGAGGCAGCAGUGGGGAAUAUUGGACAAUGGGCGCAAGCCUGAUCCAGCCAUACCGCGUGGGUGAAGAAGGCCUUCGGGUUGUAAAGCCCUUUUGUUGGGAAAGAAAAGCAGCAGGUUAAUACCCCGCUGUUCUGACGGUACCCAAAGAAUAAGCACCGGCUAACUUCGUG